CGUAAUUUAAGCAUAUUAAUUAGGGGAGGAAAAGAAACCAAAUGGGAUUCCUUUAGUAGUGGCGAACGAAACGGGAUUAGUCCAUCACGUAGGGUUACGACUUUAAAUGGUUGUUGACCGAUUCCGUGUAAAGGAGGGUCUAUUAUCUUGCAUAUAUAAGCAUUAUAUUUAAGUUCAGUUUGAAAGCGGCCAAAUAUACCCAUAGAGGGUGCCAGGCCCGUAUAUGUAUAAUGUUUAUGCAAGAAGGCUAUUAACUCCUAGGAGUCAUGUUGCUUGAUAGUGCAGCAUAAAGUGGGAGGUAAACUCCUUCUAAGACUAAAUAAUGCCAUGAGACCGAUAGCGAACAAGUACCGUGAGGGAAAGUUGAAAAGAACUCUGAAUAGAGAGUA
rnacentral:rRNA from 1 species